rnacentral:rRNA from 1 species
GGUGACAGUAAAUUAGCCUGGACGACUGUUUAUCAAAAACACAGGUCCCUGCCAAGGCGUAAGCCGACGUAUAGGGACUGAAACCUGCCCACUACUGGAAGGUCAAGGGGAUGGGUAUUAGCCCUGAACUGAAGCCCCAGCGAAGGGCGGCGGUAACUAUAACCGUCCUAAGGUAGCGAAAUUCCUUGUCGGGUAAGUUCCGACCCGCACGAAAGGUCCAACGAUCCGGGCGCUGUCUCGACCAGGGACUCGGCGAAUUUGAACUACAGGUGAAAAUGCCUGUAACCCGCGGCUGGACAGAAAGACCCCGUGGAGCUUUACUGAAUGUUGGCACUGGGUCUUGGUAGAUGACGUAUAGCAUAGGUGGGAGGCAAAGAAACCAGGGCGCUAGCCUUGGCGGAGCCACCAAUGAAAUACCACCCUUCAUCUGCCGGGGUUCUAACCCUACUUCGGUUACACCGGAGCGGGGACAGUGUCAAUUGGACAGUUUGACUGGGGCGGUUGCCUCCUAAAGACUAACGGAGGCGCGCAAAGGUUCCCUCAGGCUGGUUGGUGAUCAGCCGUCGAAUGUAAGGGUAUAAGGGAGCUUGACUGAGAGACUGACAGGUCGAUCAGAUGCGAAAGCAGGCCCUAGUGACCCGGCGGUACCUCGUGGGAGGGCCGUCGAUCAUCGGAUAAAAGCUACCCCGGGGAUAACAGGCUGGUCGCGCCCGAGAGUUCAUAUCGACGGCGCGGUUCGGCACCUCGAUGUCGGCUCAUCCUAUCCUGGGGCUGAAUCAGGUCCCAAGGGUCCGGCUGUUCGCCGGUUAAAAGGGUACGCGAGCUGGGUUCAGACCGUCGUGAGACAGGUCGGUCCCUAUCCACCGUGGGCGUUGGAGACUUGAGGAGGUACCUUCCUAGUACGAGAGGACCGGAAGGUCCGGAUCGAUGGUGUACCAGUUGUCCCGCCAGGGGCAUUGCUGGGUAGCUAAGUCCGGAGUGGAUAAGAGCUGAAGGCAUCUAAGCCCGAAGCCCACUCCAAGAUCAUGUCUCCCUAACAGGUCCCUUCCAGACCAGGAGGUAGAUAGGUCGCAGGUGUAAGCGCGGAGACGUGUUAAGCCGAGCGAUACUAAUCGACCGAUAUCCCGAACCA